ACUCCUACGGGAGGCAGCAGUGGGGAAUAUUGCACAAUGGGCGCAAGCCUGAUGCAGCCAUGCCGCGUGUAUGAAGAAGGCCUUCGGGUUGUAAAGUACUUUCAGCAGUGAGGAAGGUGGGUAUGUUAAUAGCAUACUCAUUUGUACGUUAGCUGCAGAAGAAGCACCGGCUAACUCCGUGCCAGCAGCCGCGGUAAUACGGAGGGCGCGAGCGUUAAUCGGAAUUACUGGGCGUAAAGCGCAUGCAGGUGGUUGUUAAGUCAGAUGUGAAAGCCCGGGGCUCAACCUCGGAAUUGCAUUUGAAACUGGCAAACUAGAGUACUGUAGAGGGGGUUAGAAUUUCAGGUGUAACGGUGAAAUGCGUAGAGAUCUGAAGGAAUACCGGUGGCGAAGCGGCCCCUGGACAGAUACUGACACUCAGAUGCGAAAGCGUGGGAGCAAACGAGGAUUAGAUACCCCGUGGUAGGAUAGCG
rnacentral:rRNA from 1 species